ensembl:rRNA 5S_rRNA 5S ribosomal RNA
GCUUACGGCCACCACCGCCUGGUAUACGCUUGAUCUCGGAAGAUAAGAUAGGUUGGGCCUGGUUAGUACUUGGAUGGGAGACCGCCUGGGAAUACCAGGUGCUGUAAGCU